CCUUAGUAACGGCGAGUGAAGCGGCAAAAGCUCAAAUUUGAAAUCUGGCACCUUCGGUGUCCGAGUUGUAAUUUGAAGAAGGUAACUUUGGAGUUGGCUCUUGUCUAUGUUCCUUGGAACAGGACGUCACAGAGGGUGAGAAUCCCGUGCGAUGAGAUGCCCAAUUCUAUGUAAAGUGCUUUCGAAGAGUCGAGUUGUUUGGGAAUGCAGCUCUAAGUGGGUGGUAAAUUCCAUCUAAAGCUAAAUAUUGGCGAGAGACCGAUAGCGAACAAGUACAGUGAUGGAAAGAUGAAAAGAACUUUGAAAAGAGAGUGAAAAAGUACGUGAAAUUGUUGAAAGGGAAGGGCUUGAGAUCAGACUUGGUAUUUUGCGAUCCUUUCCUUCUUGGUUGGGUUCCUCGCAGCUUACUGGGCCAGCAUCGGUUUGGAUGGUAGGAUAAUGACUAAGGAAUGUGGCUCUACUUCGGUGGAGUGUUAUAGCCUUGGUUGAUACUGCCUGUCUAGACCGAGGACUGCGUCUUUGACUAGGA
rnacentral:rRNA from 1 species